rnacentral:rRNA from 1 species
GAUGAACGCUGGCGGCGUGCCUAAUACAUGCAAGUCGAGCGAACGGACGAGAAGCUUGCUUCUCUGAUGUUAGCGGCGGACGGGUGAGUAACACGUGGAUAACCUACCUAUAAGACUGGGAUAACUUCGGGAAACCGGAGCUAAUACCGGAUAAUAUUUUGAACCGCAUGGUUCAAAAGUGAAAGACGGUCUUGCUGUCACUUAUAGAUGGAUCCGCGCUGCAUUAGCUAGUUGGUAAGGUAACGGCUUACCAAGGCAACGAUGCAUAGCCGACCUGAGAGGGUGAUCGGCCACCCGGGACCUGAGAAAGGGCCAAGCCCCCUAGGGGGGGAAGAAGUGGGAAAUCUUCCGCAAUGGGCGAAGGUCUGAGGGAGCAACGCCGCGUGAGUAAUGAGGGUUUUGGGAUCGAAAAACUCUGUUAUUAGGAAAGACAAUAUGUGAAAGUAACAGUCAACACCUUGAGGGUACCUAACAAGAAAGCACCGGUAAACUCCUG